GCACCUGGGUAGCUCAGUUAGAGCAUGGUGCUGAUAAUACCAAGGUUGCAGGUUCGGUCCCUGUAUGGGACAGCUGCA